rnacentral:rRNA from 1 species
UGAGGAAUAUUGGUCAAUGGGCGAGAGCCUGAACCAGCCAAGUAGCGUGCAGGAUGACGGCCCUAUGGUUUGUAAACUGCUUUUAUGUGGGGAUAAAGUGCGUGACGUGUCAUGCAUUGCAGGUACCACAUGAAUAAGGACCGGCUAAUUCCGUGCCAGCAGCCGCGGUAAUACGGAAGGUCCGGGCGUUAUCCGGAUUUAUUGGGUUUAAAGGGAGCGUAGGCUGUCUAUUUAGCGUGUUGUGAAAUUUACCGGCUCAACCGGUGGCUUGCAGCGCGAACUGGUCGGCUUGAGUAUGCAGGAAGUAGGCGGAAUUCAUGGUGUAGCGGUGAAAUGCUUAGAUAUCAUGACGAACACCGAUUGCGCAGGCAGCUUACUGUAGCAUAACUGACGCUGAUGCUCGAAAGUGCGGGUAUCAAACAGG